ensembl:lncRNA
GGAACGAUUAUUCCAAAGAGUUUAAUGGCUGCCUAGUGUGACAUCGCACAGAUGGCCCCGAUCCGCUGAACCCUUCCUGUGGAGAACCGUUCAUUUGGCCAACGAACAGGGACCGAGGACCCUGGAGCCCUCGGAGCAUAAGCGACGAACGUUCCCAGGAAGCAACAACUCAGCCCAGGCAUGGGCUAGUCGGAGCCUGGAGAUCUCAGCUGGGAUCCUGGCGCCUGGGGAAGGGCCCGGCUCUAAAAAUAAACUGCUCGCCUCAGCCUGGGAGCAGCCGUGCGAGCCUGGCGAGCAGGGGCUGCUGCCCGCCACUCCGGGCAGAUGACGGCGGGCCUGGCCCAGCCAGAGUGCCCCCCUCUCUGGCAGCUGGCCACUGGGACAGGCUGGUGGCAGCUGGCAGCCAGGAAUAUUUGACCCCCGACUCCCGGAGGUGCCCCCCCACCCCCAACCGCCCUGCCGCACACGUGAAUACACAUAUGCCCCAACCUGGGACGUGCUCCGCAGAGCGUGGCCAGACUGCUCCCGGGGACCAGCCGGUGAGGGGCAGUGGGGACGCCAGGAGGUGCCCUCCGCAUGCUGGACAGUGACAAGUCUCAGAACAGGAAACGAAGCUUGGGGGGCCAGUAGCUUGCACGAGACCCCGGAACCCGCAGAUGCCAGCACAGAGCCAGGAGCCAAGCCAGCCCCGCUUCCGAGCCCGAAACGCCCCCAGCAGCGUGGACAGCGCCCGGCUGCCUGUGGUCGCCAGGCUGAGGACCCCUGGGUGACCUGACGACGUGGUAUUUGUGAGAGAGUGGACCCGAGUCCCAGAUGCGAGCUGGACCCUCAAGGGACGGGCCCGGGAGACCCGCCGCUCCACCUCGCCCUGUCCACCCGCCUCGCUUCGCGCUCCUGUUGCCCCAAGUGUCCACACCCGCAGGAGGCCUGCUGGGACUCCUGUCCUCCUCGGCACCCGUCAGCCACGGGGCUAAGGCCACUGCCCUCCCCAGGGCAGCCACAGCCUCCCCCCGCUGCAGUCACACAGGACGAUGUCCUGUCCCCAAGUCCUCUGUGCAGGCAGACACCUCCUUGCCUUGCCGGCUGUCCCCUCCAGCUGGAGCACCUCUCCCCUCGACUUCCGUUACAGCCCGACUCCUUCCCUCAGGAGGAAGCGGCCCUCCUGGGUGACCCCACACUGUGUUCCAUGUGGAGGUCAAUGUUCUGCUGUCUGUCACCAGACCGUGGUCUCCCCCAGGCAGGGCUGGAGUCCCGCCCGUCCCUGGGUCCUCAGGGCCAGGACAGAGGUGGUGGGUGUCCAUGGGGAUCAGGGCACUGCAAGGAAGGACAAGGAUCCCACGGAGGAGACUGGAGGGCAGGGAGCAGCCUCCGUGGGAAAGGGACAUUUAAGCUGAGAUCUGCUGACAGUUGGCCAGGGGAAGUUGAGGAACAGCAUCCCAGGGAGAGGGAACAGCAUACGCAAAGAGCUGGCACUGGGAGCGAUCGCUAGAAACCAAAGUGAGACCCAUGAGCCUGAGGAUGGUCCAGUGUGGCCCGCGGGCGCCCGGCCACACCAGCUCACCGAGGCCUCUCUGAUGUGCUGGGCUUGACAGCAUUGUGAAGCCACGUACUAUGUCAUCCUCGCUUUAGAGUGGAGGGAACUGAGGCUCAGGGAGACAGAGCGACUUGCCAAAGGUCACACAGCAAAGGCAGAGGGGGCGCAGAGACAGGCCUUGGACCCCACCCGCGCCGCUCCCCCCGCCAGGCUCAGCCUCCGUGGCUGGUUUGCCUGCUCUCGGAGGCAGAGAAACACCACGUCCGGGCUGUCCUGCUUGGCUGGCACCUGUGGGCCGUCCCAGGAAACGAGUGUUUCAGGUCCAUUAUUUCCAACACGCCGGCGCUUUGCUUCGCUCGGUGAGCGCCUCCCAACUGUGUAUUUCCUCGAAAAACCACAGGCAGCCCCCAGGAACCGGGGCUUGUCUCCACGGUCAGGAGCUGCCGAGUUCGGCUGAGUUUCUAACAUCUUCAUGACUGAACGGACUUUCCGACCCAGGGGGAGCCCCUGGGGGCGGCUGGUCCUCCUGGGAGGAGCAG